GCAGCUGUGGCCUACUGGUUAGGGCUUUGGGCUUGUAACCGUAAGGGUUGCCAGUUCGAUCCUCGACUCAGUAGGA
rnacentral:tRNA from 1 species